rnacentral:lncRNA from 12 species
GGGGUUGGUUGCUUUGUAAUCACUCCCAGCUUACUGUUGAAAACAUCUUGGUCAGAUUUUUAUCAGUGCCUGCACAGGAACAGCCUUGGAGGACUGUCUCUGGGGAGAUUAGGUGGUUACCUAGUGUGGAGUGAGACGCUCCUGCCCAGCCAGAUGAGGUGCAUUUCAGAUGACACUGAUUUAAUGUGAGCCUGGGGACCAGCAUCCCUGGUGUUCCAGGGCAGAGCCAGGUGCCUGCUGUCUGGCCUGGGGAAGGCCUUUAGCUGUCAGGUGAUGCCCACAGUGGGGUGUAAGCAUGGAGUUAACUCCUCUUCAUGGUGUGAAGGAAGGGCUGGGGUUACCCAGAAGGCAGGUGGCACGAGUUAUCCAUCCUCAGAAUGUUGAGAAAGGAGAAAAGGGCAAGAAGGCUCAGGGCUGACCUGUGGACAGAAAAGAGAUACUGGGGAUGAAACUUGAGCUGUGCAGAAAGAGCCCUGCAAAAACCUGACAGGAAGACGUCUGUACUGCAGAAACAAGGUCAAGAUGAGACCAAAUGGUGUGAGAAGUUUGGACUGAAAGUGACAAUUCCAUUAAUCCAUCCACCAGUUAGACAAGUUUGGACUCUUUGCUGGCACAACAGCACACCUCCAAGAGGGCUACCAGCUUUGUUCUCGUCUGCCAGUCCACUGGGGUGGAAAAUUCACAUUCAACAAAACAGGCUCCCUCUCCGGGCUGGGUCGUAGGGCUGCUUCCCCCAGGACAGCUCGAGUUGAAGAUGGAAAGAGGACUCUGAGGGGUCUGGACAGGGCAGCAGCAGCUCCCAGCCCACAGGAUUUGGGAGGUGUCCUGGAUGGUGCUGCUGACCUGCUUCAUCUUCCUUGCCAAGGGGGGCACAGCUCCAGCCCAGCACAGCAGGAAUUGCCUGAAAUGCAAACCCAGGGCAUGUGUUGCCGUGCUUGUGCCAGUGUUGCCUGUGCAGGCAAAGGAUGAUGCUCAUGGGGGACAAGGCAUGAAGAUGUGUCCUGCCUGGCACCAGGGGACACCAGGACUGCAGCUGGGGUUUCCCUCCAGCUCUGUGGAAAUAUGCUUGAGGCUGUCCCAUGCAAAGUGCCUCCUGCUAGGGCUGGUCCCUGGCUCUUGGCAGCCCUGGCUAUGGCACCUCCCUGCCUGGCAUCUGCCACCACCCUUCUCCAUGACAAAGCCUUUGAUGAAGGAAUUUCAUCCUCCCUUUCCCACACAGCCUGGUCCAUAUUUUGUGUGUCUUUAUCUUGUGUAGGGUUUUACCUUUUUUUUACCCUGUUUCCCUGCUGAACCCAGACAUCUGCCAGUGUGAGUUCAACACCUCUCUGUUCCAUGUUGUUGGUGUGAAUGACCAGAAUCAAGAAAUUUG